rnacentral:rRNA from 1 species
UAGGUUGGAGGUGGAAGUGCAGCAAUGCAUGGAGCUGACCAAUACUAAUCGGUCGAGGGCUUAUCCAAAUA